AGAUAGUAUCAAUGUAGACUCGAAAUUCGAAACUCAAGACUAGCCGGGAAUGAGAGAUUGCACCUCAGAAUUCGGACAAGAGGUACUGAACAGUAUAAGGAGCAACAACUCACAACACCAACUACAAGUGAGAUGUCCAACCUGGUGAUGCAGAUGUAGACGAGUUGGCCAACAAUGUGUCCUAGUGACUAGGAUCGGCAAGAGACACCAUUAGUCGGUUU
rnacentral:misc_RNA from 1 species